rnacentral:rRNA from 1 species
AGAGUUUGAUCAUGGCUCAGGAUGAAUGCUGGCGGCGUGGAUAAGUCAUGCAAGUCAAGGGGGCCCGCAAGGGCAACCGGCAAACGAGGUAGUAACACGUAGGUACAUCCCCCGAAGUUGGGCAUAGCCAUCCGAAAGGAUGGGUAAUUCCCAAUAGUCCCGAAAGGGUAAAGGUUUUUCGCUUCGGGAGUGGCCUGCGUAGUAUCAGCUAGUUGGUAGGGUAAUGGCCUACCAAGGCGACGACGCUUAGGGGAGCUGAGAGGCUGACCCCCACCGAUGGAACUGCGACACGGUCCAUACUCCUACGGGAGGCUGCAGACGAGAAUAUUCCGCAAUGGACGAAAGUCUGACGGAGCGACGCCGCGUGAUGGAUGAAGUGCCUUGGUACGUAAACAUCUUUUAUCGGGGACGAAUUUUAUUGACGGUACCCGGUGAAUAAGGGGCUCCUAACUCUGUGCCAGCAGGAGCGGUAAUACAGAGGCCCCAAGCAUUAUCCGGAAUCAUUGGGCGUAAAGGGUGUCUAGGCGGCCAUAUUAGUCUCUCGUAAAAUCCGUGGGCUCAACCUGCGGUCUGCGAGGGAAACGGUAUGGCUCGAGGGCGUAAGAGGUGCAUGGAACUCAUGGUGGAGGGGUGAAAUCCGUUGAUAUCAUGGGGAACACCAAAGGCGAAGGCAAUGCACUGGUACGUUCCUGACGCUCAAACACGAAAGCCAGGGUAGCGAAUGGGAUUAGAUACCCCAGUAGUCCUGGCCCUCAACGUUGCUCGCUCGCUUUACGGAGUAUCGACCCUCUGUGAGGCUAAGCUAACGCGGUAAGCGAGCCGCCUGGGUAGUACGAUCGCAAGAUUAAAACUCAAAGGAAUAGACGGGGACUCGCACAAGUGGUGGAUUAUGCGGCUUAAUUCGUCGAUAAACGAAGAACCUUACCAAGGUUAGAAAUCCAGCUGCAUCCGACCUGAAAGGGACGGAGCCUUCGAGGGUGCUGGACAGGUGAUGCAUGGUCGUCGUCAGUUCGUGGUUUGAACUGUUCCCUUCAGUGGGGUAACGAACGCAACCCCCGUUGCCUGUUGCCUAUAUGGUCAGGCGAGACUGCUCCCUCACGGGAGAGGAAGGUGGGGAUGACGCCAGAUCAGCAUGUCCCUCUGAUACCUUGGGCUGCACGCAUAAUACAAUGGGUGGUACAACAGGUCGCAAUACCGUAAGGUGGAGCCAAUCCUUAUAAAACCACCCCCAGUACGGAUAGAGGUCUGCAACCGACCUCUUGAAGCCGGAAUCACUAGUAAUCCCAGGUCAGCUAAACUGGGGUGAAUACGUUCUCGAGUCUUGUACUCACCGCCCGUCAAGUCAAGGGAGCUGGGGGUACCCGAAGGUCUGCCUUGCGCAGGACUACGGUAAAUUCAGUGACAAGGACUAAGUCGUAACAAGGUAACCGUA